rnacentral:rRNA from 1 species
AGCAGUGGGGAAUUUUGGACAAUGGGGGCAACCCUGAUCCAGCAAUGCCGCGUGAGUGAAGAAGGCCUUCGGGUUGUAAAGCUCUUUUGUCAGGGAAGAAACGGUUUGUUCUAAUAAAGCAGACUAAUGACGGUACCUGAAGAAUAAGCACCGGCUAACUACGUGCCAGCAGCCGCGGUAAUACGUAGGGUGCAAGCGUUAAUCGGAAUUACUGGGCGUAAAGCGUGCGCAGGCGGUUUUUUAAGACUGAUGUGAAAUGCCCGGGCUCAACCUGGGAACUGCAUUUGUGACUGGAAGGCUAGAGUGUGUCAGAGGGGGGUAGAAUUCCACGUGUAGCAGUGAAAUGCGUAGAGAUGUGGAGGAAUACCGAUGGCGAAGGCAGCCCCCUGGGAUAACACUGACGCUCAUG